UGGGGAAUAUUGGACAAUGGGCGGAAGCCUGAUCCAGCAACGCCGCGUGAGGGAUGACGGCCUUCGGGUUGUAAACCUCUUUCAGUACCGACGAAGCGAAAGUGACGGUAGGUACAGAAGAAGGACCGGCCAACUACGUGCCAGCAGCCGCGGUAAUACGUAGGGUCCGAGCGUUGUCCGGAAUUAUUGGGCGUAAAGGGCUCGUAGGCGGUUUGUCGCGUCGGGAGUGAAAACAGCGGGCUUAACUCGUUGCUUGCUUUCGAUACGGGGCAGACUAGAGGUAUGCAGGGGAGAAUGGAAUUCCUGGUNUAGCGGUGAAAUGCGCAGAUAUCAGGAGGAACACCGGUGGCGAAGGCGGUUCUCUGGGCAUUACCUGACGCUGAGGAGCGAAAGUGUGGGGAGCGAACAGGAGUUAGAUACCCUGGUAGUCCACACCGUAAACGUUGGGCGCUAGGUGUGGGGUCCUUUCCACGGAUUCCGUGCCGUAGCUAACGCAUUAAGCGCCCCCGCCUGGGGGAGUACGGCCGCAAGG
rnacentral:rRNA from 1 species